AAGCUCGUAGUUGAAUUUCGGAGUUUGUCGGUUGGUCGGGCUUCACUGUCCGCACUGGCCUGAUGGAUUCCUACCUUCUGAAUAACCAGCAUGCUAUUAAGUUAGUGCGUUGGGGAAGCAGAGCUAUUACCUUGAAAAAAUUAGAGUGCUUAAAGCAGGCUUUUGCUUGAAUAGAUUAGCAUGGAAUAAUAAAAUAGGACGGCAUGGUUCUAUUUUGUUGGUUUCUAGGAUCACCGUAAUGAUUAAUAGGGAUAGUUGGG
rnacentral:rRNA from 2 species